rnacentral:rRNA from 1 species
UACGUAGGGUGCUAGCGUUGUCCGGAUUUAUUGGGCGUAAAGAGCUCGUAGGCGGUCUGUCGCGUCGGCUGUGAAAACCCGGGGCUCAACCCCGGGCCUGCAGUCGAUACGGGCAGACUAGAGUGUGGUAGGGGAGACUGGAAUUCCUGGUGUAGCGGUGGAAUGCGCAGAUAUCAGGAGGAACACCGGUGGCGAAGGCGGGUCUCUGGGCCAUAACUGACGCUGAGGAGCGAAAGCGUGGGGAGCGAACAGG